rnacentral:rRNA from 1 species
GACAGAGGAUGCAAGCGUUAUCCGGAAUGAUUGGGCGUAAAGCGUCUGUAGGUGGACUUUUUAAGUCCGCCGUCAAAAUCCCAGGGCUCAACCCUGGACAGGCGGUGGAAACUACCAAGCUGGAGUACGGUAGGGGCAGGAGGGAAUUUCCGGUGGAGCGGUGAAAUGCGUAGAGAUCGGAAAGAACACCAACGGCGAAAGCACUCUGCUGGGCCGACACUGACACUGAGACGCGAAGGCGUGGGGAGCGAACGGG